UACGGAGUUACAAAGGACGACAUUAGACGAAUCAUCUGGAAAGAUGAAUCAAAGAAGGUAAUAAUCCUGUAGUCGAAAAUGUUGUCUCUCUUGAGUGGAUCCUGAGUACGACGGAGCACGUGAAAUUCCGUCGGAAUCUGGGAGGACCAUCUCCUAAGGCUAAAUACUCUCUAGUGACCGAUAGUGAACCAGUACCGUGAGGGAAAGGUGAAAAGCACCCCGGAAGGGGAGUGAAAUAGAACCUGAAACCGUGUGCUUACAAGUAGUCAGAGCCCGUUAAUGGGUGAUGGCGUGCCUUUUGUAGAAUGAACCGGCGAGUUACGAUUUGAUGCAAGGUUAAGCAGUAAAUGUGGAGCCGUAGCGAAAGCGAGUCUGAAUAGGGCGUUUAGUAUUUGGUCGUAGACCCGAAACCAGGUGAUCUACCCUUGGUCAGGUUGAAGUUCAGGUAACACUGAAUGGAGGACCGAACCGACUUACGUUGAAAAGUGAGCGGAUGAACUGAGGGUAGCGGAGAAAUUCCAAUCGAACCUGGAGAUAGCUGGUUCUCUCCGAAAUAGCUUUAGGGCUAGCCUCAAGUGAUGAUUAUUGGAGGUAGAGCACUGUUUGGACGAGGGGCCCCUCUCGGGUUACCGAAUUCAGACAAACUCCGAAUGCCAAUUAAUUUAACUUGGGAGUCAGAACAUGGGUGAUAAGGUCCGUGUUCGAAAGGGAAACAGCCCAGACCACCAGCUAAGGUCCCAAAAUAUAUGUUAAGUGGAAAAGGAUGUGGCGUUGCCCAGACAACUAGGAUGUUGGCUUAGAAGCAGCCAUCAUUUAAAGAGUGCGUAAUAGCUCACUAGUCGAGUGACACUGCGCCGAAAAUGUACCGGGGCUAAACAUAUUACCGAAGCUGUGGAUUGUCCUUUGGACAAUGGUAGGAGAGCGUUCUAAGGGCGUUGAAGCAUGAUCGUAAGGACAUGUGGAGCGCUUAGAAGUGAGAAUGCCGGUGUGAGUAGCGAAAGACGGGUGAGAAUCCCGUCCACCGAUUGACUAAGGUUUCCAGAGGAAGGCUCGUCCGCUCUGGGUUAGUCGGGUCCUAAGCUGAGGCCGACAGGCGUAGGCGAUGGAUAACAGGUUGAUAUUCCUGUACCACCUAUAAUCGUUUUAAUCGAUGGGGGGACGCAGUAGGAUAGGCGAAGCGUGCGAUUGGAUUGCACGUCUAAGCAGUAAGGCUGAGUAUUAGGCAAAUCCGGUACUCGUUAAGGCUGAGCUGUGAUGGGGAGAAGACAUUGUGUCUUCGAGUCGUUGAUUUCACACUGCCGAGAAAAGCCUCUAGAUAGAAAAUAGGUGCCCGUACCGCAAACCGACAC
rnacentral:rRNA from 1 species